AGCUCAGGCCACUCUACCUUGGCUGUGUUCAGUUUGGUCUGAUCUUAGAAGCUAAGCAGGGUCUGUCCUGGUUAGAACUUGGACGGGAGAACUGAGGUUACAGGGAAACUAGAGCCC
rnacentral:rRNA from 14 species